GUCUGUGGAAAAAGCUGUUCUUACCACAGUGUUGUUUGCAUGUUUAAGAACUUCCUCAUUCUUUGUCUGAAAUGGCUGCUAACUGCAGGGUGAAAUUGAAUGACUGGAAAAUGGAUUCAUCUUCUCAUGGGUUCCCAGUGACUGUUUUAGAGCAAACUGCCUCGCAGCUAGGAUGCAAUCCAGUGGAUCAGAAACUUGCUUUGCACUUAGAUGAAGAAGAUGAACUGAAACACCUCCGUGAAUGUUUCCAUAUUCCAAAAGUCAAGGAUCUACCUCCAACCGACUCAACUUUAGUGAAUGAAAAUGAAAGCUGCAUAUACUUUGCUGGGAAUUCUCUUGGACUUCAGCCAAAAAAAGUUAAAGCUUACCUGGAUGAAGAGUUGGAUAUGUGGGCUAGAAGAGGUGUUCACGGUCAUUUCAGUGGUAAGCGCCCAUGGGCUUUAGGAGAUGAGUGCAUCGUGGAGCUUAUGGCUGAUAUUGUGGGUGCUCGAAAGGAAGAAGUAGCCCUAAUGAACGGGCUAACUGUUAAUCUGCAUCUCCAGAUGUUAUCUUUUUUUAGCCCUACUCCAAGUCGCUAUAAGAUUCUUCUAGAAGCCAAAGCCUUUCCCUCCGACCAUUAUGCUGUUGAGUCUCAGCUUCGGCUUCAUGGACUUGAUGUGGAGAAAUGCAUGCUCAUGGUACAGCCACGCAAGGGGGAGAAGACCUUGAGAAUUGAAGAUAUCCUUGACAUAAUUGAGAAGGAAGGGGACUCUGUUGCUGUAAUUUUGCUGAGUGGAGUGCAGUACUACACAGGACAGCUGUUUGACAUCCCCAGAAUAACAAAGGCUGGCCAAGAAAAGGGUUGCUAUGUUGGCUUUGACCUGGCUCAUGCUGUUGGUAAUGUAGAACUGCAUUUACAUGACUGGGGGGUAGAUUUUGCCUGCUGGUGUUCCUACAAGUAUUUAAAUUCUGGAGCUGGGGGCCUGGCUGGUGCCUACAUUCAUGAGAAACAUUCCCAGACUAUAAAACCAGUCUUGAAUCCUGAUGGAAACCAGCAAACAGAGCUGUAAACAGGGGAGUUUGAAUGGGAGUUCUGUUGGAGGAGAAGGUACCGGGGGAAGGAGACCAAAGCCCUGAGUAGCCUUGGGACGGUUUGAUUUACACCAGCAGGAAGAGUUCCAGAUGAGUUCUUCCAGUGGCUGAGGAUUUUCUGGACCCCAGGACCUCUUUUUCUUUGUGUGAAGGGCUGAUGUAAAGAGAUGCAGGAAGAAAGCCAGUUGCCAUGUACAAGCAGAAGCUUUAAUCAGUCCUGCAAACUCCAGGAACUAUGUUGUAUAUUCUUGAGUGCCAUUUACUGUCUGGUGCCUUAUCGAUUUAUUUAUAAUCACACAACUCUCAUUAGCACCCCUAACAUUUUAGAAUGUGCUAUGGAAUGGAAAUUCAAAAAGGACAGGAAGGCAGUAGCACAAAGUCUGUUCCAGGAAGCUGUAUAUCCUCUGUGCUGCUGGAAUAGAACAAAGGGAAUUUAUCAUAGGGUACAACUCAUCCUUCAGUAUUAAUUCAUAGUCAUCACUUUUUAUAUAGCACACACAAUUUAUAUUGGGUAGUCAAGGCCAUACCCAUCACAAACACCCAAAGCAAAAUUUACCAGCAUAAACCAUCCACUUAUGUUCAGUUUCUCCUGAACUCUCAGUCCAGUCUUCAAAGUUGCUUUCGUUAGGACCUUUAAGAUUGUUUGCUGCUUCAUAUAAUUAAAAAUAGAGGUGAUGACUUCUUAAGUGUUUUUGCUGUGCACAGUGCAAUGGAGUCUUAAUGCUGACUGAGGCUUUUGGUGCCAGUACCACAUUACAAAUAAUAUUCAGUAUAUAUUGCGUUAAUCUACCUUGAAAAUAAAAAAGCAAUUCCUCCACAUCACACACAAAUGAGACAUUAUUCAAAUCCUGUAGGACAAAGAGGAUGUAACAGAACUUCUAAAACUAGAGUAUGAUGGGAUAUACAAACUGCACUCUGGACAACAAGGGGUUAAGGAAUUGCUCUAAGAUCAGCCAGCCCUGCCCCACCACACCUGUAGGAAAUGCUCCAACUGGAAGAGGAGUUAAGAGGCAGGGGAGCAGGGAAAAGAGCCAACCUGCAGCUCCAGCAGAGGAGAGCUGAAGGAAAGGCAGAAUCUCUCCCCGUGACAACUGCCCAAAGGUCCCUCCCUGAGGGAAGGGAGAGCCUGCUACAGAGAC